rnacentral:rRNA from 1 species
UACGAAGGGGGCUAGCGUUGCUCGGAAUGACUGGGCGUAAAGCGUGCGCAGGCGGUUUUGUAAGUCAGAUGUGAAAUCCCCGGGCUUAACCUGGGAACUGCGUUUGAAACUACAAGGCUAGAGUGUGGCAGAGGGGGGUGGAAUUCCACGUGUAGCAGUGAAAUGCGUAGAGAUGUGGAGGAACACCGAUGGCGAAGGCAGCCCCCUGGGUUAACACUGACGCUCAGGCACGAAAGCGUGGGGAGCAAACAGG